UGGAAGUAAAAGUCGUAACAAGGUUUCCGUAGGUGAACCUG
rnacentral:rRNA from 3 species